CCUGACGACGCAACGCCGCGUGGAGGAUGAAGGUCUUCGGAUUGUAAACUCCUGUUGCCCGGGACGAAAUGUUCAGACCUAACACGUCUGAAUCUGACGGUACCGGGUGAGGAAGCCCCGGCUAACUCUGUGCCAGCAGCCGCGGUAAUACAGAGGGGGCAAGCGUUGUUCGGAAUUACUGGGCGUAAAGGGCGCGUAGGCGGCCCUCUAAGUCGAACGUGAAAUCCCUGGGCUCAACCCAGGAACUGCGUCCGAGACUGGAGGGCUAGAAUCCGGGAGAGGGAUGUGGAAUUCCAGGUGUAGCGGUGAAAUGCGUGGAUAUCCGGAGGAACAUCGGUGGGGAAGGCGGCAUCCUGGACCGGUAUUGACGCUGAGGCGCGAAAGCCAGGGGAGCAAACGGGAUUAGAUACCCCGGUAGUCCUGGCCCUAAACGAUGAAUGCUUGGUGUGGCGGGUAUCGAUCCCUGCCGUGCCGAAGCUAACGCCAUUAAGCAUUCCGCCUGGGGAGUACGGUCGCAAGGCUA
rnacentral:rRNA from 1 species